UACGAAGGGGACUAGCGUUGUUCGGAAUUACUGGGCGUAAAGCGCACGUAGGCGGAUUUGUUAGUCAGGGGUGAAAUCCCGGGGCUCAACCUCGGAACUGCCUUUGAUACUGCAAGUCUCGAGUCCGAUAGAGGUGGGUGGAAUUCCUUAGUGUAGAGGUGAAAUUCGUAGAUAUUGGGAAGAACACCGAUGGCGAAGGCAGCCAUCUGGACCGACACUGACGCUGAGGCGCGAAAGCGUGGGGAGCAAACAGGG
rnacentral:rRNA from 1 species